rnacentral:rRNA from 1 species
UACGUAGGGGGCUAGCGUUGUCCGGAAUCAUUGGGCGUAAAGCGCGUGUAGGCGGUCCGGUAAGUCCGCUGUGAAAGUCGGGGGCUCAACCCUCGGAUGCCGGUGGAUACUGUCGGGCUUGAGUACGGAAGAGGCGAGUGGAAUUCCUGGUGUAGCGGUGAAAUGCGCAGAUAUCAGGAGGAACACCAAUGGCGAAGGCAGCUCGCUGGGACGGUACUGACGCUGAGACGCGAAAGCGUGGGGAGCAAACAGG